rnacentral:rRNA from 1 species
AUUGAACGCUGGCGGCAUGCCUUACACAUGCAAGUCGAACGGCAGCACGGGAGCUUGCUCCUGGUGGCGAGUGGCGAACGGGUGAGUAAUACAUCGGAACGUACCCUGAAGUGGGGGAUAACGUAGCGAAAGUUACGCUAAUACCGCAUAUUCUGUGAGCAGGAAAGAGGGGGAUCGCAAGACCUCUUGCUUUAGGAGCGGCCGAUGUCGGAUUAGCUAGUUGGUGGGUAAAGGCCCACCAAGGCGACGAUCCGUAGCGGGUCUGAGAGGACGGCCCGCCACACUGGGACUGAGACACGGCCCAGACUCCUACGGGAGGCAGCAGUGGGGAAUUUUUGGACAAUGGGGGCAACCCUGAUCCAGCCAUUCCGCGUGAGUGAAGAAGG